ACUCGAACCAAUAAGCUAAUAUCUUUGACGACAAAUUCGUAAUAAUAAGAUCUGCGAAAUUACAAAAUAAAAUAAAAUAAAAUACAAUCACAUGGUGCCAUCACAAAGAUUAAAUGGCAAUUCGUGGAAUAUUCUUGCAUAAGAUGUAAGUGUAAGAACUCAUUCUUUUGUGCAUGAUAUUUGUGUACUCUCUUAGAUAUGAUACUCAGACAUUAGGUGGCAUAAACAUAACAAUUUUGCACCGAUUGUUAUGGCAAAUAUGCCUAUAAAACUUCGACGAAACUUGUUUACAAUGAUCAUCAGUGCUACACUCAGGAAGAUUUCCUGCAACGAAAAAAAAGAGUGAAAAAAUUCAUGUUACUAAAAGGAGAUAUAAGAUUGUGUACGAACUAUACAGGAAACAAGGAAAUUUGAAACAAUGAAAAUACAACUUACUCUUACCGCUAACCUCCUUAACAAUAAGAAGCCUGAAAAGAAAUAAAAGCAUGGCAUAAAAAAUUU
rnacentral:lncRNA from 1 species